rnacentral:lncRNA from 1 species
GAGAUACAAUGAAAACAACGACCCUGUCUCUGCUCUGAUCUAUAACCCGUUUGUCCCAUGGGUCGGACACGUGGCGGAAGAGUUCAACAUUCUCUACGCAGUUCUCUGGAUCCAGUCUUGUGCCGUUUUCUCUGCUUAUUACCAUUACCUAAACGGCUCUGUUUCUUUCCCGACCAAAACAGAGCCUAAGCUCGACGUGAAGCUCCCUUGCGCUCCUGUCUUGAAAUACGACGAGAUCCCAACUUUUCUCCAUCCUUCUUCUUCUCAC